rnacentral:rRNA from 1 species
GAUGAACGCUGGCGGCGUGCCUAAUACAUGCAAGUCGAGCGAACGGACGAGAAGCUUGCUUCUCUGAUGUUAGCGGCGGACGGGUGAGUAACACGUGGAUAACCUACCUAUAAGACUGGGAUAACUUCGGGAAACAGGAGCUAAUACCGGAUAAUAUUUUGAACCGCAUGGUUCAAAAGUGAAAGACGGUCUUGCUGUCACUUAUAGAUGGAUCCGCGCUGCAUUAGCUAGUUGGUAAGGUAACGGCUUACCAAGGCAACGAUGCAUAGCCGACCUGAGAGGAUGAUCGGCCACACUGGAACUGAGACACGGUCCAGACUCCUACGGGAGGCAGCAGUAGGGAAUCUUCCGCAAUGGGCGAAAGCCUGACGGAGCAACGCCGCGUGAGUGAUGAAGGUCUUCGGAUCGUAAAACUCUGUUAUUAGGGAAGAACAGAUGUGGAAGUAACUGUGCACAUCUUGACGGUACCUAAUCAGAAAGCAACGGCUAACUACGUG